rnacentral:rRNA from 1 species
UGCAUAUCAAUAAGCGUAGGAAAAGAAACCAACAGGGAUUGCCUCAGUAACGGCGAGUGAAGCGGCAAAAGCUCAAAUUUGAAAUCCUUCGGGAAUUGUAUUUUGAAGGUGGGUUUGGUUAGGAAAAGUUACUUUAAGUCCAUUGGAAAAUGGCGCCAUGGAGGGUGAUAGCCCCGUAAAAGUACCCCUUUUCCUUUUAUCCAUUCCCUCCAAAGAGUCGAGUUGUUUGGGAAUGCAGCUCUAAGUGGGUGGUAAAUUCCAUCUAAAGCUAAAUAUUGGCGAGAGACCGAUAGCGAACAAGUACAGUGAUGGAAAGAUGAAAAGCACUUUGAAAAGAGAGUGAAAAAGUACGUGAAAUUGUUGAAAGGGAAGGGCUUGCAAGCAGACACAACCUCGGUUGGGCCAGCAUCGGAGUGGGGGGAGACAAAAAAGAAAAGGAAUGUAACUCUUUCGAGUAUUAUAGCCUUUUCUCAUAUCUCCACCCCCUUCCGAGGCCUGCGAUUCUUCAAGGAUGCUGGCGUAAUGGUUGCAAGUCGCCCGUCUAGAAACACGGACC